rnacentral:rRNA from 1 species
UACAGAGGAUGCAAGCGUUGUCCGGAAUUAUUGGGCGUAAAGAGCUCGUAGGCGGUCUGUCGCGUCUGCUGUGAAAACCCGAGGCUCAACCUCGGGCCUGCAGUGGGUACGGGCAGACUAGAGUGCGGUAGGGGAGAAUGGAAUUCCUGGUGUAGCGGUGGAAUGCGCAGAUAUCAGGAGGAACACCGAUGGCGAAGGCAGUUCUCUGGGCCUGUACUGACGCUGAGGAGCGAAAGCGUGGGGAGCGAACAGG